rnacentral:rRNA from 1 species
UGAGGGAAUAUUUGGGGUCAAUGGGCGAGAGCCUGAACCAGCCAAGUAGCGUGCAGGACGACGGCCCUAUGGGUUGUAAACUGCUUUUAUACGGGAAUAAAGUGAUGCCUGCGGGCGUUAUUGCAUGUACCGUACGAAUAAGGACCGGCUAAUUCCGUGCCAGCAGCCGCGGUAAUACGGAAGGUCCGGGCGUUAUCCGGAUUUAUUGGGUUUAAAGGGAGCGUAGGCCGGAGAUUAAGCGUGUUGUGAAAUGUAGUGGCUCAACCUCUGCACUGCAGCGCGAACUGGUCUUCUUGAGUACGCACAACGUGGGCGGAAUUCGUGGUGUAGCGGUGAAAUGCUUAGAUAUCACGAAGAACUCCGAUUGCGAAGGCAGCU